CCGCAUAAGACCACAAGGCCGCAUGACCAAGGGGUCAAAGGAGCAAUCCGGUAUAGGACGGGUUCGCGUCCCAUUAGCUAGUAGGCGGGGUAAAGGCCCACCUAGGCAACGAUGGGUAGCCGAGCUGAGAGGCUGAACGGCCACACUGGGACUGAGAUACGGCCCAGACUCCUACGGGAGGCAGCAGGGGGGAAUAUUGGGCAAUGGGGGAAACCCUGACCCAGCAACGCCGCGUGAAGGAAGAAGGCCUUCGGGUUGUAAACUUCUGUGACAGGGGACGAAGGAAGUGACGGUACCCUGAGAGGAAGCUCCGGCAAACUACGUGCCAGCAGCCGCGGUAAUACGUAGGGAGCGAGCGUUGUCCGGAAUUACUGGGCGUAAAGGGCGCGUAGGCGGUAGAUCAAGUCGCAUGUGAAAUACCCGGGCUCAACCUGGGGGGUGCAUGCGAAACUGGAAUACUUGAGUGCGGUAGAGGAAAGUGGAAUUCCUAGUGUAGCGGUGAAAUGCGUAGAUAUUAGGAGGAACACCAGUGGCGAAGGCGACUUUCUGGGCCGUAACUGACGCUGAGGCGCGAAAGCGUGGGGAGCAAACAGGAUUAGAUACCCUGGUAGUCCACGCCGU
rnacentral:rRNA from 1 species